UAGGGAAUAUUGGGCAAUGGGCGCAAGCCUGACCCAGCAGCGCCGUGCGCGGUGCUAUGAGAGUACCCGGAGAAAAAGCAUCGGCUAACUCCGUGCCAGCAGCCGCGGUAAUACGGAGGAUGCGAGCGUUAUCCGGAUUUAUUGGGUUUAAAGGGUGCGUAGGCGGACAGUUAAGUCAGCGGUCAAAACGGGCGGCUCAACCGCCUGCCGCCGUUGAAACUGGCAGUCUAGAGUGGGCGAGAAGUACGCGGAAUGCGCGGUGUAGCGGUGAAAUGCAUAGAUAUUGCGCAGAACUCCGAUUGCGAAGGCAGCGUACCGGCGCCCGACUGACGCUGAGGCACGAAAGCGU
rnacentral:rRNA from 1 species